UCAGUUAACAGUUUAAAAAUUAAUUUUAAACGGUUAAUUGGUACCAGUCUUGCAAAUUGGUUUAUAUAUAUAAAGCCGAAAUACUAAAAGCCCAAAUCCCUAAACUUAUAUAUAUAAUAUAUAUAAAAUCCAAUUCCCUAAACUUAUAAUCUCCCUUUUCGUUCCCUCUUUCCCUGAGAUUUUCCUUCUCUCUAAUUCCUUCCUCCUUCCCCAAAAUUUUCUCCUCUCUCUAAUUCCAAACAUUUGCUUUUAUUCAAUGUCAAAGUGUUGACGCAAUCACGCAACAAACUCCAUUCCCUCUUCUCUCCAGUUCGGCGAUUGCCUUCACUUCUCUCAGUCUUCAAUUAGCACGAAAACACGACGGCGCACAACCAAAAAUCACAGGCAAAAGCGUCUUCGAGUUCACAGAUGCAAUUCUUUUAAUUUUUGUGUAUUUUGUUGGUUUUGUUGAAAGUUUUGAUUUUGGGGUGUGUGGAGUGCGGAAUUUUGGAGUGUUGUAUAUUAUUUUUUAAUACUUUAAUGAUCAAUUUAUAUUUUUAGUA